GACGGUGAGAGAUGAAAGCUGGGGGAGCAAACCGGAUUAGAUACCCGGGUAGUCCCAGCUGUAAACUAUGCAAACUCAGUGAUGCAUUGGCUUGUGGCCAAUGCAGUGCUGCAGGGAAGCCGUUAAGUUUGCCGCCUGGGAAGUACGUACGCAAGUAUGAAACUUAAAGGAAUUGGCGGGGGAGCACCACAAGGGGUGAAGCCUGCGGUUCAAUUGGAGUCAACGCCAGAAAUCUUACCCGGAGAGACAGCAGAAUGAAGGUCAAGCUGAAGACUUUACCAGACAAGCUGAGAGGUGGUGCAUGGCCGUCGCCAGCUCGUGCCGUGAGAUGUCCUGUUAAGUCAGGUAACGAGCGAGAUCCCUGCCUCUAGUUGCCACCAUUACUCUCAGGAGUAGUGGGGCGAAUUAGCGGGACCGCCGCAGUUAAUGCGGAGGAAGGAAGGGGCCACGGCAGGUCAGUAUGCCCCGAAACUCUGGGGCCACACGCGGGCUGCAAUGGUAACGACAAUUGGUUUCGAAUCCGAAAGGAUGAGGUAAUCCUCAAACGUUACCACAGUUAUGACUGAGGGCUGCAACUCGCCCUCACGAAUAUGGAAUCCCUAGUAACUGCGUGUCAUUAUCGCGCGGUGAAUACGUCCCUGCUCCUUGCACACACCGCCCGU
rnacentral:rRNA from 1 species